GCGCCGCGCGGGGAGAGCGCGCGAGCUCGGGGGCGCGCGGCCCGGUGCGUGUGGCCGCGGGAACAGCGAGGCCACCUCCCGCGCGCGGCGCCCCCCGGUUGGUCGCUCGGAGCGGAUGCCUGUCUUCCAGGGAGGACGUCGCCCAGCCCGACCGAAACAAUAACGGAGCUCAGGAGAAGGGGCGCAGCACGCUGAGGUCAUUUCCCACAGCGUCUGUAGCAUCUAUUUAAACUGGAGAACAGAUGCUUAGACCAUUUUAAGAUCCUAGUCCCUGGAGGGACGUGGUGACUCACGUCUCUAAUUCCACCACGCUUGAGGCUGAGGCAGGAGGAUUCGGAGUUGGACACCAGGCUGGCCAGUGAGCCAGUGAGGCCUCAACACACACACACACACACACACACACACACACGCACACAGAGGCAGGGUGAAUAACAACCUCAGUCACUGACCCUUAGCUUCUAGUGUGCUCUCCGAUCCUGACCGUGCAGAUAACCACAGUGAGACUGACUGAACUCUUCUCUUGGCAUCCGAGUUUGAGGGAAGGUGUUUCUGUGAUGUUAGGCCCAGCAAGAGCCUAAAUAUAAGAAGCAGGACCCUUCCUUCUGUACUGAGGGACCUUCCUGGGUGUUUAUGAGUGAUGGUAUUGCUAUGGACAAGAAGCACAGAAGAAGGAAAUGCUGUGCGAGGAUGUGGGUGAAUUACAGAAAUGAAUAAACACCCCCCUCUCCUGGCAAUUGUGAGUAUUGCAACUGUUUUAUUGCUCUCUGCCCCAGCCUAGGUAUUUCAGAGUUCCAGCAUUGCAAGGUCAUGGUGGUGCUGGCCUGUAACACCAGCACUCGGGAGGCUGAGACAAGAGGAUCAGAAGUUCAAGACCACUCUUCACUACAAAGCUGGAGGCUCAGUAGGAAAAAGCACUUAGCACCAAGCCUGUUUUGUCAUGAAGCCAGCUCCACAGAGUGGAAGGAGAGAACUGAGCCCACAGGGUUUCUUCUAACCAUAAGAAAUCCUCCCUACAAGCACAUAUAACUAAACAAACAAACACCCUCCACCAGGCGGCCAGCACCCAGAGCAAUCUGGCUGAACUGAAUGGUACUCCAGUCACCUGGCGUAAACUUGACCCUGUUAUGAACAUCCCUCCCAUCUGGAUGCUGCAGUCCUCAGCUGUGCUAAGUGAGGGCUAAACUCAGUUUAUUGACUACAGUUGUGAACCUUCAACACAGCUUGUUCUCGCUUGUUGGGAUAAAGUGCUGAGGAGUGGGGACCUUUGGUGGGCCUGUGCCAAGGUAUGCCAGUAAGAGAUUAUGCCAUGCAACAGAUCUAGGGCAAGAGAUUUGCUGGGGGGAAGGGGUAGGGCAAAAGACUGUUUAAGAGUGGUGAUGAGACAGACAGACAGACAGAUAGAGACCAGAUAAAACAGAGACAGAGAGAGGGAGGGAGGGAAAGACAGAGACAGACAGUGUUCUUGUCUCAAUUUCCAGAGCACUUAGAUUAUAGGCCUGAGACACCAUGCCAAAUGUUUAACUGUUUUUGGUUGUUUGAAACGGGGUCUUCAUAGGUAGCCAGAGCUCCCUGGCUACUUUGGCCAUAAACUUGUUGCAAUCACCCUGUUUCCCAAGUAUCAGACCAUAGGCCUGAACAGCCACACCUGAGGCUUCCCUCUUAUUUAUUUUUUGUUUUAUUAAAAAUAAACAAAACAAGCGGGGCACAAUGGCACACGCCUAUAAUCCCAGCACUCAGGGAGGCAGAGGCAUUCGGAUCUCUGUGAGUUUGAGUCCAGCCUGGUCUACAAAAGGAGUCUAGGACAGCCAAGGCUACACAGAGAAACCCUGACUCAAAAACCAACCAACCAACCAACCAAACAAACAACAAAUGAAUGAAUGAAUGAAUAAAACAAAACCAGUCUUACUAGUUUCUCUCACUGGCCCAGAACUUACUAUAUAGAUCAAGCUGGCCUUGAACUUGCAAUGUUCCUCUUCGCCCACCUAACAUUUUUUUAAUGAACAUCCAACUUAGACAUAUUAUUUUGAGGACCUUUUGUAUUCUGUAUACAGAAUUUGUCCUUUUCCAGGAGUGAUGGGAGCUCUGUGGACUGAAUAUAAGAUCUCAAGCAUGUGAGGUAAAUAUUUUACCAAUGAACUAUAGCCUCAUGCCUUUUUUUAUUGCAAAAUUUUAAAUUUUAUUUUGUUUAUUGAAGUGGAAGUUUCUGGUUUCCUUGAAGACUCGAUUGUGUCAUGUGAUAUUUUGCUGGAGAUUAGCUGGUGAGAGGCACUUGAUGUUUUGCUACGAGCUCUCUCAUGUGAGGGGCGUGACUUUGGCCAGCUGAGAACAUCCGUGGUAGACUGUGAGGAGAGGAGAUACAUAGAGACCACACACAGUGAGACAGAGCUUUUUGGACUGACACCACUGCCCUAAUCUUUGUGCUUCGACACUUGACUUCCCAGAGAGAAAUGUUCUGGGCAAUCCAACUGAGCCUUGCGGCUUUCACUGACUUCAUGCUGUUGCUUGCUGUUGGCCUUUGUACUGGUUUAUAUCAGCUUUCAACAAGUCCAGAUUGCAGUGUGCCAUGCACAGGUGAUCCCUGGAUAGAGUCUGUCAGUCAAACCUGCUGAGACAAACAUAGACUAAGGACAGAGUGAACAUUUUCUAGUAAUUGGAAAAGGACUGGAAUUCCAGGACCAGGGAAAAUUUUUCAUUUUCAGGAACAGGUAGUUGUAUUUAUCUGGAAUCCAUUUGACUUGGAUCCAAGUCAUUUUCUGAAGUUUACAAGAAUCUUUUUAAGUUUAUUAAAAGAGACAAAUUGGCUUGGAAAACAAUUUUAAAAUUUGAUUAAUGUUAAAGUUUAAACAGACUUAAUACAACUUAAAUUAUUUUUAUAUCUUUAUAAAUUUGUAUUUAUAAUUUUAAAAACCAUCCUUUAGAUCUUCUAAAAUUUAUAACUUGUAUUUACCAACCUUAAACUGUCUCAGACCUUUAAAUAUUUUACAUUUUUCUGAGGAGGCAGUUGAAGCCUUGGUAUAUAAAUUGAAGAUCAAUUUACAACAGAGAACUGAGCAGGAUAAAUAUGAUCUGAAUAAACAGGAAAUACAGUGCAAGCAGCUUCCAAACUAUAGAAAUGACAGAGACUGCUGGCUGCCUGGACAGUCACCCAAGAUAUCUCUACAAUGUUGGAGCAUCAUCUUUAGCCUUAUGGCUCAUAAUAUUUGACAGACUUCGGUGAAGCAGGUAAUACACAGGACUUGCCUACCUUGUCCUUGCAAAGCUCAGCAGUCUUUCCUGUUUUCAGUUUGUCCAGUAUUCUGUCUGCAAUAAAAGCAAUGGCAUUUUCUUUUGCCAUCUAUGAAUUUGCCAUCUAUGAAGCCAUCUCCUAAAGGAGAAUUAUUAUUUUUGAUGCUCAUCAUCUUCUUUGAAGUUGAAAGGGGGUACUGCUAGGAGCUGGUAUUUCUCAUUUUUUUCAGCUGUAAUUUCGAGGGAGGAGCAUCUUGUUAUCUGUUGAAUCCAAUGGAUCCAGGCAGGAAGCACUGAGACGGUUGUGUCAACCACAAGAAUGAGACAAUCACAACAGUUAAGACACAGAACUAGACUCUCUGACAUGAACUCAAUGGCUGGCUCUUUGACCUCCCCACCCCCGAGGGAGGAGCAGCCUUGCUAGGCCACAGAGGAGGACAUUGCAGCCAGUCCUGAAGAUACAUGAUAAGCUAAGAUCAGAUGGAAGGGGAGGAGAUGAGGGAGGGAGGGAAUGAGAGAGGAGGCUACAGCUGGGAUACAAAGUAAAUAAACUGUAAUUAAUAUAAAAAAAUAAAAAUCUAAAAGACACAGAACUAACAUGACAUUCCCGGGAAAACCAAAAAGGAAAAGUGGCGUCCCCUGGACUCACUCUUGAUGCAGAGACCUGAUGUCAAAUCAGAUAAGAAUCUUCAGAUUGCCCCAGAGAAAUGGGGGUGGAGGAGGAUUUCCCUCCUCUCCCUGGGAGACAGAGAGCCCUGUGACACUGCAAGCCGGGCUUCUUCCAGUGUAUCCCCUCAAGGGCCAACCCAGAUAGCCAGGCUAAGAGCAAAUACAGAUCAAAAACUCUAGGGUGGCCUCUUGGCCAGACUGAGGGCCAGGAGACACCCCAGGCAGCUUGCUCUUAACAUGACAAUCUCAAGAAGCCUCGAUCACUCUGUUUAUACCUUUGGGGCAGGUGAGGAAGCAACAAACAUUUACAUAUAGAAAGCAGGUCUUGUGGGCUAUAGAAAUGACAAUGCCAUAUAUCCUGCCAGCAUCUGGUACUUCAGGCAGAGCAAUUAACAACCGGGAAUACAGGGGCAUUGACAGUUGAUACAGUGUCAAAAUGAGCCAAACACAUGCAAGAAUGCAUGCAUGCACGCACACACAAACACACACAAGCACGGGGAGGAAGACGUCUCACUCUGUAAGUCUAGCAGGCCUGAAAUUCGCUCUGUACACACACACACACACACACACACACACACACACACACACACACACACGGGGAGGAAGAUGUCUCUGUAGCUCCAGCAGGCCUGGAAUUCCUUCUGUAACCUAAGCUGGACUUGAAAGGACUCCAUGAAGAUCAUCAUGCAUGCUGUCGUGCUGCAGAAGGCGUGACUCUUCAGAAGGACAUUCAAACUGCUGUGUGCUUGACAUUUAACGAUAGCCCUCUACAGAGCUUUGAACUCACCAGCAUAGGAUAGACCGUGGAGUGCUUUCUCCAUAGUUGCCAAAUACAAAUGGGCUGGGCACUGUGACUAGAAUUCUUCUUGUGGUUGUGCGUAUAGUAUAUAGUUUACUGAUGCUAGAGAUAAAGCCGUUUCCCGGACCAAAACGGGAGAUGUUGGGAUAAGCUACCUCCACACACACUGUAUCAACUGUCAAAGCCCCUGUAUUCCCGGUUGUUAAUUGCUCUGCCUGAAGUACCAGAUGCUGGCAGGAUAUGUGGCAUUGUCAUUUCUAUAGCCCACAAGACCUGCUUUCUAUAUGUAAAUGUUUGUUGCUUCCUCACCUGCCCCAAAGAUAUAAACAGAGUGAUCAAGGCUUCUCUGAGAUUGUCUUGUUAAGAGCAAGCUGCCUCAGGUGUCUCCCAGCCCUCAGUCUGGCCAAGAGGCUGCCCUAGAGAGGGGCAGGGUAUAGUCCUGUUGCUGAUUGGUUCAGAGUGAGGAAGUCAUGGAAACUCUCACAAUGUGCUAGCAAGCCUUUUUAUACCUGAUGAAUGAAGGCAUGGGGGGCAGGGGCUGGAGAGAUGGUGCGGCAGUUAGGAACGAUGGCUCCUUUUCCGGAGGACCUGGGUUCAAGUCCCAGCACCCAUGUGACAAUUCACAACUCUCAGCAACUCCAGUUCCAGGGAAUCCAACAACCUCACACAGACAUACAUGCAGACAAAACCAACAACGCAUAUAAAACAAACAAAUAAAUCUUAGCGCAGGAAGGUAGAGUAGAGAGAGCCUCAUGGGUAGAGACACAAUGGCAGAGGAGUCCAGUCAGGAUGGCUAGUGGAGGAGACUGACUCCAGCAAAGAGGCUUAUACUGCACAGAUGGCCCUGUGUUUCUGUUGGUAAACCCAAGCACGGCCCCUAAAAGCACCCGAAGCAUCCUCAGCUAAAGGUUAACUUCUUUUUAACUUAUCCUUCCUCUCUAAUCUUGUGAUUCAUGCGUUGUAAGUUGUUUCCCUUGCAUCAUGGCAUGUUAUGGCAACCAUCUGAUCAUAAACCCGCAAGUACUUUUCCCAUGAUCAUAAAAAUAAUUGCAAAAUCCCACUUUUGUAAUCAUGUGCUUGCUUGAAAAAGGCCCUUCUGCUCUUAGUCUGUAUGGCUUCCUUCUACUCUGCAGGAGACUCUAAGUUUGGCCUGGCCAUGAAAAUAAAUAUUUUACCUCACAACAUCUCCUUGUUAGCUCCUAGUUUUCAACACCACAACACUGGGUAUUUCUUUUUUUAGGAAAAAUAAAUGCUUUUUUAUUAAAAAAAAAAAAAGAUUUACUUAUACAUGUGUGUAUUCUAU